UACGUAGGGGGCAAGCGUUGUCCGGAUUUAUUGGGCGUAAAGAGCGUGUAGGCGGCCAUGCAGGUCAGCUGUGAAAACUCGAGGCUCAACCUCGAGACGUCGGUCGAAACCGCUUGGCUAGAGUCCGGAAGAGGAGAGUGGAAUUCCCGGUGUAGCGGUGAAAUGCGUAGAUAUUGGGAGGAACACCAGUGGCGAAGGCGGCUCACUGGACCGGAACUGACGCUGAGGCGCGAAAGCGUGGGGAGCAAACGGG
rnacentral:rRNA from 1 species